AAUGGAAAAUUAUUAUAUAAUAUGUGAGUUUACGUAAAGAAAAGUAAUUUUGUUUUAAUUAAUGAAUAGGUCUGUAAGAUAGGACAUAAAUGCUUUGUAAGAAACUUUUGAGAUUAAUAAGUUACAGUAGAGCAAUAAUAAUUAACAAAGUAAGUUAAAGGCGUAAUUAUUAAGGUGAAUCUAAAUUCCUUUUACUUAAUGGGCAAACGUUGAUUUGCAAAA
rnacentral:lncRNA from 1 species